rnacentral:misc_RNA from 1 species
CACUCAUCAAAAUUAAUUAAUUCCAUCAAUGAGAUUCAGAAUCAGGGUUCUUAAUUUCAACAUAUCUCACAAUAGAGAGAUCAACCAAUCAAAUUAACAAUUGAAAAAAUGCUAUUGGUUGCCAAAUUCAUGAAUUGUUCUAAAUUGAAUCAGUAACAGAAAGAUCAAUUUGUCUUGUUUGAUGCAUGCAAACCAAUAGACAACGGCGUCUGAAAGAAUCCAGGUAAUUUACUGACUGAAUGGUACAAGAACCAAAUGAGCUCACAGAAACAAAAUUUAUCAUCAGUCUUGAAUUGUUUUCCUCGCAAAUUUUAUCAUCUAUAUUCUUGGAAGUUGACGUGGACUGUGGCUUGUGCAUGCUCGACUGCCGCCCAUACAUUCACAUAAAAUGACAACAUAAAAGAUUGAGAAAAUCAUUGUCAGGCCGAACAAAGAAAGAGAGUUAAAGCCAGAAUAUUUAUAUCAAGAGAACCGACCUUCUGACCAACUACUCCAAUUUGGCAUACUCCACAGCGCAAACUGAAGUUGGAAGUGUCCGUGUAAAUUCUUUUCCUGUAAGUGAUCAGGGUGAAAUAAUAAUUGUGGAAGUUGAAGUUAAGCUAUACCAUGUUCAUUGACAUGCAAACUCUAGUGCAAAGGAAACUAGGUAUAGUUUGCUUGAAUGUGACAAGUAAAAUGUCCUCAACAUAGCGCUAUAGAAUGGGCACGUAUCUUGAAAAAACAGAGUAGCAUAUGAUAAGAAGUCCAAUAUCUAAUGUGAACUAAAUUCAAAUUGCAUAAGGACUGACAAAAUCUAAAUUGCAAAACUUUCUCGAGAUGCAACGAAUGACAAAUAAGUUUCUAAUAUGUUACUAGUUAAGAAUGCCAAAAUGGUGUACACUCGACAGCUACCAAGCUAGCACCUCUAGAAUCUUUGGACUUUGGCUAAAUGACAAAUCAAGUGUCACAUAAUCCAGAUUUAAGUGAUAUUCUAUGCUUAGACCAGUGUGCUGAAUAUUCAUACUUAUAUUUAACCCCUUCAUAUGAAUUUUCCUGUGUGCUUGUAGUCCUAUAAACUUUAAGCCCAAAGAAGAGUUUAAAUAAAACCUUUCCUUUAUCAUUUUGUACAGCAAAUAUGGUCUGAUCAAAUUCCUCCAGAGCUCCCUCAAAUGGAGAUAUCUAUCAAAUUAAAUACAAUGAAGGCAUCCAUAAGUAGAAUAUCAAAACAGUAAACAAUUGAUGGGUGCACAACAGAAAGAAUUUAAUACCAUAUGGCCAGUCAAUAAAAACCAGUUAUUACUAACAAAUGCUGCAUAUCAUGAGCUCACUUCCACAUUAUGGAGAUGAUAACACGUAAUAAUUUGAAGAAAUUAUCCAACACAGCAAAUUAAUCUGUCUAGGCUGCAGGUGCAGUAUUUAAUUAGAAAAUCCUUUUGCAAAGGGCACACAUGCAAUUUCUACAGAUAUUUCAUUAUUUCUUCCUUAAUUAGGCCUCUGAUUGGAUGAAGAGAAAUAAAAAUAGAGUACAAAAAUGAAAUUGAGAACAAAACACCAUACAGCCAAAGCAUCAUAAUGAAGUCCAUCAUAAAUCAACAUCUCCCUCUCAGUGUACUUACUGUCCUGUCAAAUAGCAACCAAAUGGGAACAGACAAGCAGCAGCAGCAGCAGCAUAAAGAGAGAAGAGAGAGAGAGGGAGGGAGAGAAUAUUUUGCAAUACAUUUAGAUAUAUGGGUUACCCAAAUCAAUAUUAUGUAUAAAAGUAGCUAAAUAUCUGACACCUUAACCCACUUUAUCAAACACAAUGGUCCAUAAACCUCAACAAGAAUUUGGAUCGCAGAAAAUCCAUGGAAGAAACUUAGAUUAAGAGGAAAAUAGGAAGAACUCUGUUCAAUUCCUGAUACCUGAUAUGGUAAACAACCAUAUGCAUACAAUUCUUCUCUGCAAAUCCAAGACAUGCUUACAUGGGGGAGUAAAAAUUGGAAUGGACUUAGCACGGCCAGAUGCAUAAAUCAAAAGAUUGAAUCUGCGGCCCCACUUAUUUCUUUAGAUACACACACACACACACACACAU